AUGAACGCUGGCGGCAUGCCUAACACAUGCAAGUCGAACGAAUUACCUUCGGGUAGUUAGUGGCGCACGGGUGCGUAACGCGUGGGAAUCUACCCCUUGGUUCGGAAUAACAGUUGGAAACGACUGCUAAUACCGGAUGAUGACGUAAGUCCAAAGAUUUAUCGCCGAGGGAUGAGCCCGCGUAGGAUUAGGUAGUUGGUGUGGUAAAGGCGCACCAAGCCGACGAUCCUUAGCUG
rnacentral:rRNA from 1 species